rnacentral:rRNA from 1 species
UAGGGANUCUUCGGCAAUGGGGGCAACCCUGACCGAGCAACGCCGCGUGAGUGAAGAAGGUUUUCGGAUCGUAAAGCUCUGUUGUAAGUCAAGAACGAGUGUGAGAGUGGAAAGUUCACACUGUGACGGUAGCUUACCAGAAAGGGACGGCUAACUACGUGCCAGCAGCCGCGGUAAUACGUAGGUCCCGAGCGUUGUCCGGAUUUAUUGGGCGUAAAGCGAGCGCAGGCGGUUUGAUAAGUCUGAAGUUAAAGGCUGUGGCUCAACCAUAGUUCGCUUUGGAAACUGUCAAACUUGAGUGCAGAAGGGGAGAGUGGAAUUCCAUGUGUAGCGGUGAAAUGCGUAGAUAUAUGGAGGAACACCGGUGGCGAAAGCGGCUCUCUGGUCUGUAACUGACGCUGAGGCUCGAAAGCGUGGGGAGCGAACAGGAUUAGAUACCCUGGUAGUCCACGCCGUAAACGAUGAGUGCUAGGUGUUGGAUCCUUUCCGGGAUUCAGUGCCGUAGCUAACGCAUUAAGCACUCCGCCUGGGGAGUACGACCGCAAGGUUG